CACGUAGGGGGCAAGCGUUGUCCGGAAUUAUUGGGCGUAAAGAGCUCGUAGGCGGCUCGGUAAGUCAGGUGUCAAAUCCUCAGGCUCAACCUGGGGCUCCACCUGAUACUGCUGUGGCUAGAGUCCGGUAGGGGAGCGUGGAAUUCCUGGUGUAGCGGUGAAAUGCGCAGAUAUCAGGAGGAACACCGGUGGCGAAGGCGGGUCUCUGGGCCGAUACUGACGCUGAGGAGCGAAAGCGUGGGAGCGAACAGG
rnacentral:rRNA from 1 species